rfam:Oryza brachyantha chromosome 2, whole genome shotgun sequence.
GGCCUAAUGCCACGUCUCCGGUAGCUACGAGCUUUGAUCGGUGAUGCUUUGAUUAGGCCAAGACAGAUUUCUUUUGAUGUUUCACAUUUUGAUAGGAACCUGUGACUGCAUCUCUAUCGGUCUACAGAGCCGGUUUAUGUGAUUAUAUUU